GAUGAACGUUGGCGGCGUGCCUAAUACAUGCAAGCCGAGCGAACAGACGAGGAACUUGCUCCUCUGACGUUAGCGGGGGACGGGGGAGUAACACUUGGAUAACCUACCUAUAAGACUGGGAUAACUCCGGGAAACCGAACCUAAUACCGGAUAAUUUAUUGAACCGCAUGGUCCAAUAGUGAAAGACGGUUUUCCGGUACCUUAUAGUUGUAUCCGCGCCGCAUUAGCUAGUUGGUAAGGUAACGGCUUACCAAGGCGACGAUGCGUAGCCGACCUGAGAGGGUGAUCGGCCACACUGGAACUGAGCCACGGUCCAGACUCCUACGGGAGGCAGCAGUAGGGAAUCUUCCGCAAUGGGCGAAAGCCUGACGGAGCAACGCCGCGUGAGUGAUGAAGGUCUUCGGAUCGUAAAACUCUGUUAUUAGGGAAGAACAAAUGUGUAAGUAACUAUGCACGUCUUGACGGUACCUAAUCAGAAAGCCACGGCUAACUACGUG
rnacentral:rRNA from 1 species